rnacentral:rRNA from 1 species
ACAUGCUUACAACAUAGCGUUAAUGCACUAGAUCCCAUUAGAACAUUGCAAUUAAGAGUGCUCAAGAUAGAGUAGUACUGGAAUGGGUGACUACCCAGGAAGUCCUAAUGUUUUACAUGCC